rnacentral:rRNA from 1 species
GUUGGGUAGGGGAGCGUUCUGUAAGCCUGUGAAGGUGGCCUGUGAGGGUUGCUGGAGGUAUCAGAAGUGCGAAUGCUGACAUAAGUAACGAUAAAGCGGGUGAAAAGCCCGCUCGCCGGAAGACCAAGGGUUCCUGUCCAACGUUAAUCGGGGCAGGGUGAGUCGACCCCUAAGGCGAGGCCGAAAGGCGUAGUCGAUGGGAAACGGGUUAAUAUUCCCGUACUUGGUGUUACUGCGAAGGGGGGACGGAGAAGGCUAUGUUGGCCGGGCGACGGUUGUCCCGGUUUAAGCGUGUAGGUGUGUGUUCCAGGUAAAUCCGGUUCACUUUAACACUGAGGCGUGAUGACGAGGCACUACGGUGCUGAAGCAACAAAUGCCCUGCUUCCAGGAAAAGCCUCUAAGCAUCAGGUAACAUCAAAUCGUACCCCAAACCGACACAGGUGGUCAGGUAGAGAAUACCAAGGCGCUUGAGAGAACUCGGGUGAAGGAACUAGGCAAAAUGGUGCCGUAACUUCGGGAGAAGGCACGCUGACAUGUAGGUGAAGUGAUUUACUCAUGGAGCUGAAGUCAGUCGAAGAUACCAGCUGGCUGCAACUGUUUAUUAAAAACACAGCACUGUGCAAACACGAAAGUGGACGUAUACGGUGUGACGCCUGCCCGGUGCCGGAAGGUUAAUUGAUGGGGUCAGCGCAAGCGAAGCUCCUGAUCGAAGCCCCGGUAAACGGCGGCCGUAACUAUAACGGUCCUAAGGUAGCGAAAUUCCUUGUCGGGUAAGUUCCGACCUGCACGAAUGGCGUAAUGAUGGCCAGGCUGUCUCCACCCGAGACUCAGUGAAAUUGAACUCGCUGUGAAGAUGCAGUGUACCCGCGGCAAGACGGAAAGACCCCGUGAACCUUUACUAUAGCUUGACACUGAACAUUGAGCCUUGAUGUGUAGGAUAGGUGGGAGGCUUUGAAGCGUGGACGCCAGUCUGCGUGGAGCCGGCCUUGAAAUACCACCCUUUAAUGUUUGAUGUUCUAACGUGGACCCGUGAUCCGGGUUGCGGACAGUGUCUGGUGGGUAGUUUGACUGGGGCGGUCUCCUCCUAAAGAGUAACGGAGGAGCACGAAGGUUGGCUAAUCCUGGUCGGACAUCAGGAGGUUAGUGCAAUGGCAUAAGCCAGCUUGACUGCGAGCGUGACGGCGCGAGCAGGUGCGAAAGCAGGUCAUAGUGAUCCGGUGGUUCUGAAUGGAAGGGCCAUCGCUCAACGGAUAAAAGGUACUCCGGGGAUAACAGGCUGAUACCGCCCAAGAGUUCAUAUCGACGGCGGUGUUUGGCACCUCGAUGUCGGCUCAUCACAUCCUGGGGCUGAAGUAGGUCCCAAGGGUAUGGCUGUUCGCCAUUUAAAGUGGUACGCGAGCUGGGUUUAGAACGUCGUGAGACAGUUCGGUCCCUAUCUGCCGUGGGCGCUGGAGAACUGAGGGGGGCUGCUCCUAGUACGAGAGGACCGGAGUGGACGCAUCACUGGUGUUCGGGUUGUCAUGCCAAUGGCACUGCCCGGUAGCUAAAUGCGGAAGAGAUAAGUGCUGAAAGCAUCUAAGCACGAAACUUGCCCCGAGAUGAGUUCUCCCUGAGACUUAAAGUCUCCUGAAGGAACGU